GCCCCCUUUUUUUCUUUCCUCUUUUCCAGUAAUUCAGUCGUUGUAUCUAAAUUAUGCUUGAAUCCCGACCACUUAAUCUGUGUUUAGCAGACAGGAGUAGUUCAUUAAAUCUUUACUUUUGAAUAAGGAGGUAUGAGAAAAAGUUAGUUGGAAGUUAGUUUGAAUAAUAGAAGGGGGUUAAUCCAGAUUUUGUCCAUUGAUUAAAAAGGAGUGAUAAGCUCCUGGGCUGCACUGCUUAGUGGCUGUGUGCUCCUCCAUGGAAAGGAUGUACCAUAUUCAGGAACACUUUUCAAAUGGUUAUGUGUUGAGUGGUUGAGGGGAGACACUAGAUGCAUGAGAUCUGUUGUUGGAUAUCCAGGUAGCUUCGGAAACUAGUUUCAGCAUAUGAAGGAACUGGUUAUGUUACCUAUGUCACUAGAAAGUUCUUUGCUUCUUCCAGAGAAAGCCAUUUGACUAUGUCAUCAUCAACAAAGUUGCUAUAUAGGUCUCAGUCUGCCCUUGACCCCAUGGGCCCUGUGUUUUGUUGUCUUCAUUGCUGGUCAUUAAAAGUUAAUAUUUGAAAUGAGUGAACCCAAGCAGAAAUAAUGACUUUGACUUACAAUACUGAGAGGUCAUAGCCAACCAUGCGAAUAGAGCAUGCUCCUUUCUGGCCUCCCACCCACAGGGCGAGUCCAAGGGAAGUAUGGACUCGCCCUAUGGGUGGGAGCCCAGGAAGGUGCAUUAGACCAGCCUUUGCUGAGCUUCUUCUCUAGAGGGACCAGGAGGAGGCACAGAAAGUGCUGCCUCCAGGCCAAGAGAGAAGGUGCACUACAGGAGGAUACCCCCUGCUCUGGAGUUGACACGGAGUCGAUACAGGAACAGCUGAUUAUCAACAGAAUGCAGAUUCGCUGAGCUAGAUGAAUGCACAAGUGACUAUUCCUCUACCCCUCUCUCACAUGUGAACGGCUGAUCAAAAACUCAGAAGAAUGCGACCUCUUGCCUCUUACCUCCCCACACCUUUUAAACAUUUCUCCCUCUUUCCCCAGUGUCUGCCCUUUCCCCUUUAAAUAUUGAAGCCCUCAAAAUCAUCUUUGUAGAAAGGCACAGACUUGUCUCCCUGUCUCCCGGGCAUGUGUCCUUAACCUUGGCAAAAUAAACUUCUAAAUGGA